rnacentral:rRNA from 1 species
AGAGUUUGAUCCUGGCUCAGAACGAACGCUGGCGGCGUGGAUAAGACAUGCAAGUCGAACGAGAGAAUUGCUAGCUUGCUAAUAAUUCUCUAGUGGCGCACGGGUGAGUAACACGUGAGUAACCUGCCCCCGAGAGCGGGAUAGCCCUGGGAAACUGGGAUUAAUACCGCAUAGUAUCGAAAGAUUAAAGCAGCAAUGCGCUUGGGGAUGGGCUCGCGGCCUAUUAGUUAGUUGGUGAGGUAACGGCUCACCAAGGCGAUGACGGGUAGCCGGUCUGAGAGGAUGUCCGGCCACACUGGAACUGAGACACGGUCCAGACACCUACGGGUGGCAGCAGUCGAGAAUCAUUCACAAUGGGGGAAACCCUGAUGGUGCGACGCCGCGUGGGGGAAUGAAGGUCUUCGGAUUGUAAACCCCUGUCAUGUGGGAGCAAAUUAAAAAGAUAGUACCACAAGAGGAAGAGACGGCUAACUCUGUGCCAGCAGCCGCGGUAAUACAGAGGUCUCAAGCGUUGUUCGGAAUCACUGGGCGUAAAGCGUGCGUAGGCUGUUUCGUAAGUCGUGUGUGAAAGGCGCGGGCUCAACCCGCGGACGGCACAUGAUACUGCGAGACUAGAGUAAUGGAGGGGGAACCGGAAUUCUCGGUGUAGCAGUGAAAUGCGUAGAUAUCGAGAGGAACACUCGUGGCGAAGGCGGGUUCCUGGACAUUAACUGACGCUGAGGCACGAAGGCCAGGGGAGCGAAAGGGAUUAGAUACCCCUGUAGUCAUGGCAGUAAACGGUGCACGCUUGGUGUGCGGGGAAUCGACCCCCUGCGUGCCGGAGCUAACGCGUUAAGCGUGCCGCCUGGGGAGUACGGUCGCAAGAUUAAAACUCAAAGAAAUUGACGGGGACCCGCACAAGCGGUGGAGUAUGUGGCUUAAUUCGAUGCAACGCGAAGAACCUUACCAGGGCUUGACAUGUAAUGAACAACAUGUGAAAGCAUGCGACUCUUCGGAGGCGUUACACAGGUGCUGCAUGGCCGUCGUCAGCUCGUGUCGUGAGAUGUUUGGUUAAGUCCAGCAACGAGCGCAACCCCUGUUGCCAGUUACCAGCACGUGAAGGUGGGGACUCUGGCGAGACUGCCCAGAUCAACUGGGAGGAAGGUGGGGACGACGUCAGGUCAGUAUGGCCCUUAUGCCCAGGGCUGCACACGUACUACAAUGCCCAGUACAGAGGGGGCCGAAGCCGCGAGGCGGAGGAAAUCCUAAAAACUGGGCCCAGUUCGGACUGUAGGCUGCAACCCGCCUACACGAAGCCGGAAUCGCUAGUAAUGGCGCAUCAGCUACGGCGCCGUGAAUACGUUCCCGGGUCUUGCACUCACCGCCCGUCA